ensembl:snRNA U6 U6 spliceosomal RNA
GUGUUCGCUUUGGCAGCACAUCUAAUAUUGGAAUGAUACGGAGAACAUUAACAUGCCUCCUGAAUGAGGAUGAAAUACAAAUUUGUGAACAAUAUUUUUGUUAU